rnacentral:lncRNA from 10 species
AGGUGAUCCUUGGACGCCCACAGUACAUCACCUUCAUGAGCGCAUCAGUGAACACCAGUCUAAGGAAGACAUCUCUGAACGUAAUUUUGGAGAUUUUGAUGAGUUCCAUUGAAACAAGGAGGAAUGUGAUGUCCAGUAUCAGUUCUGCAGACCCAAGGACAAAGAAAAUUCUGUGAUAAACUCAUCCAGUGUGACUGUAAUACCAGGCAGUGAUAGAAGAACUGGGGGAAGAGAUAAUUGUAUUUAUCUUGGUGAGGGUGACAAAUCAUGGCAAAUGAGCAAAAUGAAAAAGGAUACAAGACACCGGACUUUCAAAUCAACAAUUGUUUCAAAAGACUCCUACUGGAUUCCUGCUAGUGAUGGGAGAAAAUUAUCAUUCUAUGAAAAGAAUAUGUCUAAGAUCC